UUCACUCAUUUUAAAGUGAGUCCAACUGUAACUUACAUGUCUACUAUUAGCAAUACUUAGCUAACUAAUAUUAGCUGAUUGCUUAGCUGUAUUCACUAGCACAAUUUAAAAGUGUUGUUAAUCCAGAUUAGUGCAUUUGUUGUGGAUUCAACCACUAGUUCUAUAAUCUAAUGUAAAUAUGGUAACUACAGGGUAGAUUAUAACUACAAGCUAGGUAGCACAUUAGCCCUGCCAUUAGAUUGAGCAUAGUAAGCAGCAUGGUGGUAUGUUAGCAGCUAAACCCCCCCAAAACAGUUAUUUUAAAUGGGCUAUUGAGUCAGAUGCACAAGCUAAUUUGUAAGACUGACCUUUCUAAAACCGUGUUGUAAUGUCAGCCUUAACUCCCAAUGCCUAAAUGUGAUUAGUUGGCUGAAAAGUCAUUGUUGGACGGGCCGGAAAACACGCUUGUAUUUAGAUUGGUAAUCUAUUAAGUGACAAGCUAGACUGACGAGGUAGAUCCAUAGGCUGGAAAAAAAAGAUAGUUCCUAUAAGUGCCAUUCUCAAUGGCAUAAGCUACAAAUGAAGCAGACCCUAGCUUUAUCAAAUACAGCUCGUUGAGGUUCACAUGACAACUUGCCACAAACGGAUGUGUGCUAAUUACAUGUCAUUAAUUUUGGCAGACACUCUUAUCCAAUGCAGGGUUAAGGUUCAAGGUUGUGCGGAUCGUACUGUGGCUACACCAGGGAUCGAACCACCGGCCUUGCGGGUCCCAGUCAUGUACCUUAACCACUGCUCUACAGGUCGCCCUAAUUAAUCGCCCUAUAUCUUGAGGUAUAGUUUCCAAAAUCAGGAUUGUUGCUGCUGGCACAACUAAUGAUUAUAAUAAUUCAAUAAUAUUUGUUUCACUGUUUCAAUAUGGCUCCCACUUACCAAUACGCAUUCACAGUAACCAUGCUGCUUACAGCAUAGACCCUUGAGGCAGACCAAGGUCCCACAGAUGAGACAAACGGCUGGAUCCUUAGGAACCUUGCUGCAAGCAGUGCAGGACUUCCCGUGGUAGUACUGGAAGAUGGUAUUGUAGUUUUCAGGUAGCUGGAGGAGGUGGGGGCCAGCCCAGUGAGGAUCCUGGACGAGCAGGGUCUUUGAGGAGGGCAAAGAACAGAAAUGGCUAGUUACACCCAUUACAUUACAUUAUUAGCACUUGGCAGACGCUCUUAUCCAGAGCGACGUACAAUUGAUUAGACUAAGCAGGAGGCAAUCCUCCCCUGGAGCAAUGCAGGGUUAAGGGCCUUCCUCAAGGGCCCAACGGCUAUGCGGAUCUUAUUGUGGCAAUACCGGGUUAGAACCACCGACCUUGCGUGUCCAAGUCAUUUUACCUUAACCACUAAACUAUAUCAUUUUCUUUCAAUACAUUUAUUCUCAUGUUUCAGUGUUUUUCUAUUAAGUAAUUUCUUUUUCUGAAAAUCAUAGGUGCCACAAUUAUUGCCACCCCUGGUUUAAUGCUUUGUGCAAACACCCCUGGCAAAGAUGACAGCCAUUGGAAUUCUCUUAGAAUUUGUCAUUAGAGAAUGCAUUUGGAGGGAUUUUCUGAUGAUUCUUCAAAGCAGAACUUUUCAGAAGCACCAAAAUCGCCGGGUUUGCACUUAUCAUUACGCCCGUUUUCAGUGCGGAGCGCAUUUUUUUGAUUUUUUUUUUCCAGUCUGGGGCAUCGCAGAACAUGGAUGUUGUUUUCAAUUAACUAUUUCUGUGAGGAUUUUGAUGUAUGUUUGGUGUUAUUUUCCUGCUGGACAAUCGACCUACGACCAAGUCUCAGCUCCCUACCAGACGACCAGACAUUCUGCUAAAAUAUCCUGGUACUUUGUUGAAUUCACUGAUCUCAAAUAGUGCCCAUGGAUGACUGACAGCAAAACAUCUCCAAGACAUCAAUGACCCACCUCCAUAUUUGACAGUAGGUAUGUCUUGUCCUUGUAUAUGCUCCUCUUUUGCCGCUUAACAUGUCAAUGGUGUGUAAAACAUUACAUUUUGGUCACAUCCGACCAUAGCACGGUCUUCCAAUGAUGUUUGCCAAACUCCAGCUUGGUUUUGUUUAUUGUGUAAUACAAUUAUUUGCUCGUAUGGGGGUGCCAUGGUUCUUUUUGAGACUUGGUGACCCGAAGAUGCAACUAAUCUCUGCAAUUCCUAAAGAUCCUUUGGUUCUUUAUGGCCUCCUUCACCAUCUUCAUCAUCAUCCAUGGGGACAACAUGCACUGCUCUUCCUGGCAAGUUUGCAAAGAUUCCAUAAAUGUUUUUAUUAUUGCCCUUACAGUGCUAAGUGGUAUGUUUAAUCGUGUAUGUGUUUUUCUGUACCCAUAACCAGACUUUUGAUGGUCAAUUACCAUCUGCCUCUUCUGAAUUGACAGAUAUUUGACUUUUCACAUGCUGAUUGAUUACAAAGGGAUUUGGCAUGCUUGUUAUGCACUAUAUUGUCUGUUUCUUGUUGCUUUACAGAUGGAUAUAUGAAGGGAUAUGGUCGAUGUUUAGAUAUCACAGCAAUAAGGAUAGCAUCUAACUCACAUUUGCUCUCUCAUCAAGCAAGAAAUCUAUUGAUUUCCCCCCGGUUUAGUUAUUUAGUAGCUUGAGAGAGCAUAACAUGACAAACUGGAGGCCUAAUUGGAAGCUGUAUCUUUGCUUAAUCCAUCCUCAGAUUUAGUUCAGACAAUAAAAAUAAAUAAAACGAUUUAACAGCCCUGCAGAAAAUGGAUUGUUUUUCUGCAUUCUAAGGAAUGUUCUCAAUAUUUAUUUACUUCCAAAAUUACAUGAGUUCUCAUGCACUUAAUUUCCAAGAUAUAAUAAUAUAUGGUCUAUACCAAUGCAAGGUGUGCAAAUUCUUUAAGGGUUCCUGAGGGUGGAUAGUAUUGUGUGUCCCUCCACGUCCAAACAUCUUCAGCGAAAACAAAAUGUAGGGUAAUACAUCCAUAGAGCAUCGUCAUCUCUUCCACAGACCCACACAGCUAUGGUUACAUGAGAUAAAAAUAAGUAACUAAUAGAUUUAAAAAAUGAUGAAGAAUGAACAUACUUUGGCAAUUACAGUAUAUUCCAGAAUAAGUGUUGCUAUGUGAAAAUAUAGUGUUAUAGUAUAUUCUUAUUUCAUUGUGGCCAUACAUUCUUGUUGUUUCAUUACAAUAAUCAGCCUUUUGUGAUGUUACCAGUGUUUGCUCUGCUUGCAUCUCUGUCAAGCCUGUGACCUCAGCACACCACAGAGAGGUCAGCUCAAAAGGGCACACCACCCACUCCAGACAACGGGCACUGUUCCACUGGCUGUACGGCUGAAGGGUUGACGACAGUAGCCCCAAACCACUAGCCAGGACUGAAAAUUCCUCUUCCCUCUGAAACAGGACAAGGGACAGCAGUGCAAAUCAGUCAUGGGGGAAAAAUACAAGAAGGGCAAGGGAAAGCAGUCCAGGAAUGUGAUAAAAGAAGAGUGAUAAAACAGACUGAGGAGGCCAUGGCUGAAAAACAUGGAGUUUCAUGGUGGACACAGGCAGAAUACAGUGCUAGCAAUGGAGGACGUGGAAGGUAGCAACACCGCCAUCCGUACAAACUGAGAACGGCACCUUGGAGAGAGACCGGGAGGAGAAUCGGCACCUUGGAGAGAGACCGGGAGGAGAAUCAGCACCAUGGCCAGCCACGCCCGGGGCGAGACGGGUGCGGCCGCAUUCCGCACGUGAAUAACCAUUUUAAUUGAACAGGCACAGCUGAACCGAGUUCGGGAAAAAGAGCGGCGUCUUCAAAAGGAGAAUACAAACUCAGCACGGGGCUCAUGACGGAGGAGGAGAGAUCCGGAGCCAGCGUACAUGAACGCGUUUACUAAACCAACGAGCCGAAUCCACCCCAGGAAGACGGGGAGCGAUUCUGGAGAGGACUGCGAGAGAGCCCAUGCGCACGGAGGAAACCCCCCGCGGACGAACCAUCAAAGUCCCGGAUUCACGUGAGCAGAUCAUUCCCACAAUAAGCUCACUAACAUCUCUCUCUCUAAACUUAGACGGGAUUAAAAACGGACGACUAGAUGAGGAAGGAUGACUUCAGAGGCCGGGGCACCGCCGGGACGGAACGACCCAAAGGCAGACGAACGUGGCCAUGUGAAUGCCGGCUUUUUUGUGUUUUCUCCGUUUUUCCUUUUGUGGGUUUUUUUCAAAAAAAAGAAAGCACUUGUCUGUGCUGGACGAUUGAAGUGCCCUGCAGGCACGUGGGGAAAAUAAAACUAAGUAUUUUCACCAA